AUUGAACGCUGGCGGCAUGCCUAACACAUGCAAGUCGAACGGCAGCACAGCAGUAGCAAUACUGUGGGUGGCGAGUGGCGGACGGGUGAGGAAUACGUCGGAAUCUGCCCAGUCGUGGGGGAUAACUAGCCGAAAGGUUAGCUAAUACCGCAUACGACCGAGAGGUGAAAGCGGGGGACCGCAAGGCCUCGCGCGAUUGGAUGAGCCGACGUCGGAUUAGCUAGUUGGCGGGGUAAAGGCCCACCAAGGCGACGAUCCGUAGCUGGUCUGAGAGGAUGAUCAGCCACACUGGAACUGAGACACGGUCCAGACUCCUACGGGAGGCAGCAGUGGGGAAUAUUGGACAAUGGGCGCAAGCCUGAUCCAGCAAUGCCGCGUGUGUGAGAAAGGCCUCGUUGGUAAGUACGACGUUACUUACUACGUACGAAAGAACGUA
rnacentral:rRNA from 1 species